rnacentral:tRNA from 1 species
UCUACUGUGGCAGAAUUAUAAUGCAAUGAACUUAAAAUUCAUUUAUAAAUAUAAAUAUUUCUUUAGAA